UACGUAGGGUGCAAGCGUUAAUCGGAAUUACUGGGCGUAAAGCGUGCGCAGGCGGUUGUGCAAGACAGAUGUGAAAUCCCCGGGCUCAACCUGGGACCUGCAUUUGUGACUGCAUCGCUAGAGUACGGUAGAGGGGGAUGGAAUUCCGCGUGUAGCAGUGAAAUGCGUAGAUAUGCGGAGGAACACCGAUGGCGAAGGCAAUCCCCUGGACCUGUACUGACGCUCAUGCACGAAAGCGUGGGGAGCAAACAGG
rnacentral:rRNA from 1 species